AUGCUCACUUCAGCUGCACAUAUAUUAAAAUUGGAACAAUACAGAGAUUAACAUGGCCCCGAGAAUGGAUAACACUAAUUUUUAAUUUAAAAAAAAUUUUU
ensembl:snRNA U6 U6 spliceosomal RNA